rnacentral:rRNA from 1 species
UACGUAGGGUGCAAGCGUUGUCCGGAAUUAUUGGGCGUAAAGAGCUCGUAGGUGGCGGGUCACGUCGGGUGUGAAAGCCCGGGGCUUAACCCCGGGUCUGCAUUCGAUACGGGCUUGCUAGGGUCCGGCAGGGGAGAUCGGAAUUCCUGGUGUAGCGGUGAAAUGCGCAGAUAUCAGGAGGAACACCGAUGGCGAAGGCAGGUCUCUGGGCAUUAACUGACGCUGAGGAGCGAAAGCAUGGGGAGCGAAUGGG